AGAGUUUGAUCCUGGCUCAGAUUGAACGCUGGCGGGAUGCCUUACACAUGCAAGUCGAACGGCAGCACGGGGGCAACCCUGGUGGCGAGUGGCGAACGGGUGAGUAAUAUAUCGGAACAUGCCCUGAAGUGGGGGAUAACGUAGCGAAAGUUACGCUAAUACCGCAUAUUCUGUGAGCAGGAAAGCAGGGGAUCUUAGGACCUUGCGCUUUAGGAGUGGCCGAUAUCGGAUUAGCUAGUUGGUGAGGUAAAAGCUCACCAAGGCGACGAUCCGUAGCGGGUCUGAGAGGAUGAUCCGCCACACUGGGACUGAGACACGGCCCAGACUCCUACGGGAGGCAGCAGUGGGGAAUUUUGGACAAUGGGCGCAAGCCUGAUCCAGCCAUGCCGCGUGAGUGAAGAAGGCCUUCGGGUUGUAAAGCUCUUUCGGUUGGAAGAAAUUGCUUCGGUUAAUACCCGGAGUAGAUGACGGUACCAGCAUAAGAAGCACCGGCUAACUACGUGCCAGCAGCCGCGGUAAUGCGUAGGGCGCGAGCGUUAAUCGGAAUUACUGGGCGUAAAGCGUGCGCAGGCGGUUGUAUAAGUCAGAUGUGAAAUCCCCGGGCUCAACCUGGGAACUGCAUUUGAGACUGUACGGCUAGAGUGUAGCAGAGGGGGGUAGAAUUCCACGUGUAGCAGUGAAAUGCGUAGAGAUGUGGAGGAAUACCGAUGGCGAAGGCAGCCCCCUGGGUUACUACUGACGCUCAUGCACGAAAGCGUGGGGAGCAAACAGGAUUAGAUACCCUGGUAGUCCACGCCCUAAACGAUGUCAACUAGGUGUUGGAAGGGUUAAACCUUUUAGUGCCGUAGCUAACGCGUGAAGUUGACCGCCUGGGGAGUACGGCCGCAAGGCUAAAACUCAAAGGAAUUGACGGGGACCCGCACAAGCGGUGGAUGAUGUGGAUUAAUUCGAUGCAACGCGAAAAACCUUACCUACCCUUGACAUGUCAGGAAUCCCGGAGAGAUUUGGGAGUGCUCGAAAGAGAACCUGAACACAGGUGCUGCAUGGCUGUCGCCAGCUCGUGUCGUGAGAUGUUGGGUUAAGUCCCGCGACGAGCGCAACCCUUGUCAUUAAUUGCCAUCAUUUGGUUGGGCAUUUUAAUGAGACUGCCGGUGACAAACCGGAGGAAGGUGGGGAUGACGUCAAGUCCUCAUGGCCCUUAUGGGUAGGGCUUCACACGUCAUACAAUGGUCGGUUCAGAGGGUUGCCAACCCGCGAGGGGGAGCCAAUCUCAGAAAGCCGAUCGUAGUCCGGAUUGGAGUCUGCAACUCGACUCCAUGAAGUCGGAAUCGCUAAUAAUCGCGGAUCAGCAUGUCGCGGUGAAUACGUUCCCGGGUCUUGUACACACCGCCCGUCACACCAUGGGAGCGGGUUCUGCCAGAAGUAGUUAGCCUAACC
rnacentral:rRNA from 1 species